rnacentral:lncRNA from 10 species
GCCCGCCGCCUCCUGGGGCCGCUCUCCACUGCGAGUCCGCCGGGACUAACCGGGCGUUUGCGAGAGGGGGUGCGUCCAAGGGCCCCUCCCGCGUGUCCGGCGCCCACCUUUGGCCCUGAGGGCCGAGUGGGGAGCCCCACGACGCUAUUACAGCCUUUCAGAUGCACGGACUGGGAAACUGGGGCUCAGAGAAGUCAAGUGGCUCGCCCAAGGUCACCCAGCGAGUGAUCCUGGGAAGAGGGGACAAGGGCCGAGCUGGAGCUGGGAAGGGCGCCCCAGUUCGCCCCAGUCGCGCUCUGAGGAAUAGCAGCGGGACCGCCCUGCUCUCUAAAGCUUCCUGGACUUCUCUAAGUUAUGUCGCGUUGCUGUCCCCUCGUACUUAUAAGAGAGUAAGGCAGGGGCGCCGUCCUUUCUCCGCGCCUGAGCUCAGAGCGCCAACCUCCUGAGAUCCGCCAGCUCAGAGCCAGCUCAAGUCCCGGCCUCAAUGUCACCUUCCCUGGACAGCCUCUCAGGACCUCCCUGGCAAAUCUCAACUUGCAAGAAGCAGAAAAAUGGCACAGUUAAAAGCAAAGCCUCUGGGGUUAAACAGCCUGGAUUUGGAAUCAUGGAUCUGCUGCUCACUAGCUGUGACCUUGGGCAAGUUUCUUCACCUCAGGGUCCUCAUCCGUCAAGUGGAGAUGACAACCAAACUUA